rnacentral:rRNA from 1 species
UACGAAGGGUGCAAACGUUGCUCGGAAUUAUUGGGCGUAAAGCGCACGUAGGCGGCAUCGCAAGUCCCAUGUGAAAGCCCACGGCUUAACCGUGGAAGUGCAUGGGAAACUGCAGUGCUUGAGUACUUAAGAGGAUCGCGGAAUUCCCGGUGUAGAGGUGAAAUUCGUAGAUAUCGGGAGGAACACCAGUGGCGAAGGCGGCGACCUGGGCAGAUACUGACACUGAGGUGCGAAAGCGUGGGGAGCAAACAGG